rnacentral:misc_RNA from 1 species
GAUGAAGAACGCAGCGAAAUGCGAUAAGUAAUGUGAAUUGCAGAAUUCAGUGAAUCAUCGAAUCUUUGAACGCACAUUGCGCCCCCUGGUAUUCCGGGGGGCAUGCCUGUUCGAGCGUCAUUUCACCACUCAAGCCUCGCUUGGUAUUGGGCAACGCGGUCCGCCGCGUGCCUCAAAUCGACCGGCUGGGUCUUCUGUCCCCUAAGCGUUGUGGAAACUAUUCGCUAAAGGGUGUUCGGGAGGCUUCGCCGUAAAACAACCCCAUUUCUAAGGUUGACCUCGGAUCAGGUAGGGAUACCCGCUGAACUUAAGCAUAUCAAUAAGCGGAGGA